AUGAUGUAAGCUCUGUCUUGGUGUCCUUAAAACCAGUCUGGCAGUCUUGAUCAGUUACACCGUAUAUGCUUGAUUCUAAAAGAAAGCUGUAUGAGAUUUUCUUGGUAAAAAGAAACACCAGACAUGUCGUGUGUGAGUGCAGGAAAUGAUCAACAAAGGGUUGAGAGGCACUGUUUUGUCCACAGGGGGCGCCAAAAGCAACACAAACCAAAAUAUACUCACAGGAGCUUCAAAUCACAUCUUUAGCACUUCAGAAAGGACUCAUGUGUACUUAAUUACUGUGGUGGUGGGGCAUGGUGUAAGGCUCCGCUGCAGGUUUGUGGGAGCAGUGCCGGGUUUAAUUAACACAGGUGAAGACUGUUUAUUGAUUGCUCUCCUCUUACCGGCAGUAGCAUGCUGGACCUGGCAGAGAGGGGAGAAGAGCUGGAGGAGCAGGACCGGUCUCCUGCCGUGCAGGUUUUGAGCUGGUGCUUCAAAACAAUAGAAGUAGAUUUGUGUUUAAGGUGUUUUGGGAGGAAAAUAAAGGAAAGAUCAACGAGGACUCGAGUGUGGUCAUUGGGUUGAGGAACCCUUAAACACAGUGGUGUGUUACAAUUACCUUUUUGUAAAAUGCAUCACUUUAUUUUUCUUUUCAGGACAGCUGAAGAGAGAUAGGACAUGGAUGGAGCAGAGAGAGGGCGAAGACUGUUUAUUGAUUGCUCUCCUCUUACCUGCAGUAGCAUGCUGGACCUGGCAGAGAGGGGAGAAGAGCUGGAGGAGCAGGACUGGUCUCCUGCCGUGCAGGUUUUGAGCUGGUGCUUCAAAACAAUAGAAGUAGAUCUGUGUUUAAGGUGUUUUGGGAGGAAAAUAAAGGAAAGAUCAUCGUGGACUCGAGUGUGGUCAUUGGGUUGAGGAACCCUUAAACACAGUGGUGUGUUACAAUUACCUUUUUGUAAAAUGCAUCACUUUAUUUUUCUUUUCAGGACAGCUGAAGAGAGGCAGGACAUGGAUGGAGCAGAGAGAGGGGAAGGACAUGCAGCAAGUAGCCGGGCAGGGAGUCGAACCUGCGACUGUUGCGACGAGGACUACAGCCCCCGAAUAUGUCCAGCACUUAAACUGCUAGGCAUCCCCUUAAAGAGUAUUUCAAUAUGGGCCUCCUGACUUGCACUGCAAGAUCACUUAAAAACCUGCUUUUCAUUUUCCCUCCAUGAAGAUAACAUUUUCUAACAUUGAUCUGACUUCUGGAAAAGUCUCAGACUUGACCUUGAGUUUGAAAUUAAAGGUCUGGCAGCAUAUUUGAUCUAGAAGCACAGAUGUCUUUUUCAGAAUAUAAGCAGUGCUUCAAAUAGACUGAAUUCUAUCUCAAGUUAAAAAUAUAGUAACAUUAAUACACAGGUGUUUGACCUUUUCUUCAAAUCUAAAAGAACACAGGAGUGACUUGCAGGAAGAGAAAUGAAAGAAAAAGAACAGAUGAUUAAAGGAAGGAUCAUUAAAACUAGGGAGUGAUGCAAGAAAAGAAACACAGCCAGAAUAAAAUAGAGCACACCGAGGGUGUUGUAUAUAAUCCAAACCUCAGGAUCCGGCUGAGCGAGAACAGGCGAGAGUUUCCUAACACCCGCUGCAGGUCCUGACACGACUUCGAUCGUGACACCGAGCCCCGGGAUGGGAUCGUGGAACAGGGAGUGAGACCAGACCCAGAAAAACGGGAUUCCACUCUCACCGCCUGCUCACGGAGCAACAUACCACUCCAAGAGUUUCCCACGAGAAAAACCUGGGGCGUUUUUCGGUCCAGGUAGAAGGAAAAAAUAAAAAAAAGACUCAACAGAGACAGGAGAGACGGGGAGACAGAUACUGAGAGGGAUAAGGGAUGGAAGCAUGGGAAAAGCAGAGUGGGAUGUGUAGGUGAAUGCUGGGGGUAUGACAGCAGAGGGAUCAGGUGUGAGAAAUCUUUAGAUAGGCAUCAUGAGGACAUCUCCAGACCUCAACUUUGAUCCUUCAGUUGAGUCAUGUUUUAUAUAAUUGGCACAGAAGACAUGACAACACCUGCAUGGUUAAAUACACCUUUGUAGCUGUUUACCUUGUGACAAACAAAUACAGACACUUUCUGAUAAAUAGGCAGGGUGUGGCUCA